rnacentral:rRNA from 1 species
GACGAACGCUGGCGGCGUGCUUAACACAUGCAAGUCGAACGGAAAGGCCCUGCUUGCAGGGUGCUCGAGUGGCGUACGGGUGAGUAACACGUGGGUGAUCUGCCCCUUACUUUGGGAUAAGCCUGGGAAACUGGGUCUAAUGCUGGAUAGGACCAUGCUGUAGGUGGUGUGGUGGAAAGAUUAGUUUCGGUAGGGGAUGAGCUCGCGGCCUAUCAGCUUGUUGGUGGGGUAAUGGCCUACCAAGGCGUCGACGGGUAGCCGGCCUGAGAGGGUGGACGGCCACAUUGGGACUGAGAUACGGCCCAGACUCCUACGGGAGGCAGCAGUGGGGAAUAUUGCACAAUGGGCGCAGGCCUGAUGCAGCGACGCCGCGUGGGGGAUGACGGCCUUCGGGUUGUAAACUCCUUUCAGCCAUGACGAAGCCCUUGUGGUGACGGUAGUGGUAGAAGAAGCACCGGCUAACUACGUG